rnacentral:tRNA from 1 species
CGGGGAGUAGUUCAGAUGGCUAGAAUACUCGCAUGGGGUGCGAGCGGUCGCAGGUUCGAGUCCUGUCUCCCCGA